UGUGCAGCCAGAAAUGCACCUUCCCCACCCAGGUAAGCUUUGUGUCUCUGCUUAUAUGCUUCCAGUACCUGAGGAUAUAUGUUGGGAGUGCCACAAAACCCAUCCUCCUGAGCUUUGUGCUGCUAGCCUGGGAGUCUGGCCAUCCUGGCUGCUUGGACAACAAAUUCCUCUUGUGUCCAUCCUGAGGACUUCCAUUCUGAGCCUGAUGAUACUGAGCAGUCCAGCCGGGCCAUCCUAUGAAAAUGAUGUUAAUUUUUCAGUUUUUUUCUUCUCCUUAUCCAGGUUUACAUCCCCACCAGACACCAGCUCCUCUGCCCAAUCCAGGCCUCUAUCCCCCACCAGUGUCCAUGUCUCCAGGACAGCCACCACCUCAGCAGUUGCUUGCUCCUACUUACUUUUCUGCUCCAGGCGUCAUGAACUUUGGUAAUCCCAGUUACCCUUAUGCUCCAGGGGCACUGCCUCCCCCACCGCCGCCUCAUCUAUAUCCUAAUACACAGGCCCCAUCACAGGUAUAUGGAGGAGUGACCUACUAUAACCCCGCCCAGCAGCAGGU
rnacentral:sRNA from 1 species